rnacentral:rRNA from 1 species
GACGUAGGGUGCGAGCGUUGUCCGGAAUUAUUGGGCGUAAAGAGCUCGUAGGCGGUGUGUCACGUCGGCCGUGAAAACCUGGGGCUUAACUCUGGGCGUGCGGUCGAUACGGGCAUCACUAGAGUUCGGCAGGGGAGACUGGAAUUCCUGGUGUAGCGGUGAAAUGCGCAGAUAUCAGGAGGAACACCGGUGGCGAAGGCGGCUCUCUGGGACGGUACUGACGCUGAGACGCGAAAGCGUGGGGAGCGAACAGG